rnacentral:rRNA from 1 species
GACGAACGCUGGCGGCGUGCCUAAUACAUGCAAGUAGAACGCUGAAGGAGGAGCUUGCUUCUCUGGAUGAGUUGCGAACGGGUGAGUAACGCGUAGGUAACCUGCCUGGUAGCGGGGGAUAACUAUUGGAAACGAUAGCUAAUACCGCAUAAGAGUAGAUGUUGCAUGACAUUUGCUUAAAAGGUGCAAUUGCAUCACUACCAGAUGGACCUGCGCUGUAUUAGCUAGUUGGUGUGGUAACGGCUUACCAAGGCGACGAUACAUAGCCGACCUGAGAGGGUGAUCGGCCACCCUGGGACGGAGACCCGGCCCAGACUCCUACGGGAGGCAGCAGUAGGGAAUCUUCGGCAAUGGACGGAAGUCUGACCGAGCAACGCCGCGUGAGUGAAGAAGGUUUUCGGAUCGUAAAGCUCGGUUGUAAGAGAAGAACGAGUGUGAGAGUGGAAAGUUCACACUGUGACGGUAUCUUAUCAGAAAGGGACGGCUAACUACGUG